UACGUAGGGGGCAAGCGUUGUCCGGAUUUAUUGGGCGUAAAGAGCGUGUAGGCGGCCAGGUAGGUCCGUUGUGAAAACUCGAGGCUCAACCUCGAGACGUCGGCGGAAACCCUCUGGCUAGAGUCCGGAAGAGGAGAGUGGAAUUCCUGGUGUAGCGGUGAAAUGCGCAGAUAUCAGGAAGAACACCCGUGGCGAAGGCGGCUCUCUGGGACGGUACUGACGCUGAGACGCGAAAGCGUGGGGAGCAAACAGG
rnacentral:rRNA from 2 species